rnacentral:rRNA from 1 species
UACGGGGGGAGCAAGCGUUGUUCGGAUUUACUGGGCGUAAAGGGCGCGUAGGCGGUCGUGACAAGUCACUUGUGAAAUCUCCGGGCUUAACUCGGAACGGUCAAGUGAUACUGUCGGACUAGAGUACAGAAGGGGCAACUGGAAUUCUCGGUGUAGCGGUGAAAUGCGUAGAUAUCGAGAGGAACACCAGUGGCGAAGGCAGGUCUCUGGGCCGAUACUGACGCUGAGGAGCGAAAGCGUGGGGAGCGAACAGG